AAGUGCUCCACAUGACGAAGCCGGAAAGAUACUCGCUCUAGUGUCGCGUCGCGCUGAGUGCCGGUAUUUUUAAUAUCGUCUCUAUGUUUAGCCCCGGCGAAUGGAACGUCAUGCAGUCGUUGUCGUCUUCGUCGUCUUCGUGGCUAGCAGCGGGGAACAGGAAACGUCAGUCAGGUAGUCGUAGAUGACUUGACGUGUAAGGUGUCAGCUAUUGGCGACUCACAUGCCGAACAAACGAACGAAAAUACGUCAUACCGAUUUCUCGGCGCAUCUCGCAUUUUCGACAUUUUUUAAUUUUUUCCGAUAAAAGAAAGGGAUAAUUUUCACGCUAUGUUUUCUAUGACCGAAAUGAGAAAGGAAUGUACCAGUCAGCGAGCAGGAUGAUUUUAACUACAGCCUAAAGCCUUAAAGUUUGAUAAGCAUGCGAGUUCAAUCGAUUCAGAGAUACGCGUCCGCCAAAGAUGGAGCUUCGGACAUGAACGCGAUUUGAAAUGAGUUUAAUUCACUUAUCGAUUCGUUGGAGAUCACGAAAACACAGAUAAACGAAUAAUUCGAUAACAACCGAUAUGCCGGAGCUAUCUAGCAAACUUUUAUACAAGUAUAGCGAGGAGAGUACUGACGAUAUACAAGGAAGAAUAACACCGAGUUGUCGAUCGUCAUCGAUAUAAUCAUUAAUGGAUAUACAUCUAGCGCGAUUUAUAGUCAUCGGAGCUGUUACCGCACGCAUUUUAUCGUUGUGUUAACACAAGUUACGGUAAUGUUAAGCCUGAUAAGUGAGUAACCUCAGGUGUACGCACUUCGAAAAAAUGCACUUAAUGACGAGCAAGCCCCAUGAAAAUAACUAUAAAUUGUUGACAAUUGACUAUGCUUUGAACUAUUUACAAAUUAUUUAAUGCAGAAUUAUUUACAAAUUAACAGCUCGCAAUCCGAAUUAUAAAUCGUCUCCCGUUACUAUUGAUUUUCAGUAAAAUUAAUUCGAUGACAUAAAAUUAAUCAAUGUUCAACACGGAAACGUCUCCUUCUUUGAGGAGCAUCUCUGUGCAUAUUUAUUGGAUGGAAAAGCGGAACCGACUAUGGCUGCGUUCGGAUGUUUCCGUGUUUGGAACACAGAGAGAAUCAAGCUGACAUCAAAGCUCUAUCUCUAUAGACAUGGAAGAGAUUGAAGAAAUCUGGUCAUGUGAUCCCCGUCCUGAUUGGACAUGAGCAUUCACGUGAUGCAAUUUGCCACUCUCGACUCGUGAAGUUCUCUACUACUACUCACUGCGCUCGAUGAGUAGGAGCUAUGGUCGGGACAUAUUGAAACAUGUUGGAGUAUGCGACGCAAACAAACCUCGAUAUACAACUGAUCGUAUAUAUUUCUGCAUACAAUUACAUAUUCUACACACAUCGGCGCAGGAGCGUUUUGUUAGAGGAAGGCAGUCACGAAAGAACCUAAGCGAAGAUUACUACCACGAUACAGAAACACAAAAUGUAUUAUCGUACAUCAGGCUCUUUAAUAAGGCCUCGCUGUCUAAAUAUACUAUAUAACUUCGAGGCAAUGAAUAUGCAAAGUGUUAGUUAAAAGUAAAUAUUAAUUAUACUAGAUAAAUUAACUGUGUAACGUCAUUUAUCUUAA